rnacentral:rRNA from 1 species
AGCACGUAGGUGGGUUUGUAAGUCAGAUGUGAAAGCCUUCUGUUCAACGGAAGAAUUGCAUCUGAAACUACAAACCUUGAGUGUAGGAGGGGAGAAUGGAACUUCUGGUGGAGCGGUGAAAUGCGUAGAUAUCAGAAGGAACGCCGGCGGCGAAAGCGAUUCUCUGGCCUAUUACUGACACUCAGUGUGCGAAAGCUAGGGGAGCAAACGGGAUUAGAUACCCCGGUAGUCCUAGCCGUAAACGAUGGGCACUAAGUAGAGGGGUUUU